UCAUGGUAAUCGGCAUCAUCAUCAUAUUAGACAGACUAAACAACUUUCCAUGCCCACCAUAUGGGAGGAGCAUCCAAACUACAGAGCCACCAUCUCUGUCUUUCUCUAUCUGGCUCUCACCUGUGAUUGAAGAGAGGGAAGGAUGACAGAGUGCCCACUGGGAAUGCCUUUCCACCCAGUUCUCAACAGGAUUCACGGCCCAGGUCAGCUCUGGGCGCCCAGCCUGGGACAGAACUGUGCCUGGCACUUGGACAGAGAGGCCCGGGAGGCAUCAGCUGAUGAGUGAGGUAGGGAGGCAACCCUUGCUCCAGAGGGAGGUUGGAUCUCCAGCAUCCAAAAGCACCAGUGCUCAGGCAGACCCAUGACUGAGUCUCACCGCUGCCACUCACCACACACAUUGGCCAUUAUUGCUGCAACAACCACCACCUCUACUAGUUCCAGGAACUGUGGACAUUGAUCCCAGAGCAAUCCCUAGGCAGAGAGCAAAUCUGUCACUGGAGAAUGGCUCCGUCACAGAGCCCGUGACCUCAGUCUCCAGUGGAGAGGAAAAUGAGAGAGGAGAAAGAUCCCAGUCUAAAAGCAAAAGUCUGGGUGCAUGGAAUAUACGCUUAAGCACUGACCCCUAAGUGCUUGAAUGAGCACACCUCUGGGAGGGCACAGCUGAUGUACCAGUGACAGUGGUUGCCUCUGGGAAGGGACACUGGUGGCUGGAAACAGGUGGGGGGUGCACUCAUCACCACAUACCCUUUUGUAAUAUCUACUCUGUG
rnacentral:lncRNA from 1 species